UGGUGGUGUGAAUUGUCUGGUUAAUUCCGUUAACGAGCGAGACCUUCGCCUGCUAAAUAGUCACGCGAACCUUCUGAUGUGGCGUGAAAGGCGUCGCGCGUAGGGGCCUAACGGCCGCUGCCGCUUCGGUGGGAUCGUCUGAUGCGUUCGUGGAAGUACUUCUUAGAGGGACUUCUUGCGUCUAGCAAGAGGAAGUUGAAGUCCAAAACA
rnacentral:rRNA from 1 species